GCCCGGUUAGCUCAGUUGGCUAGAGCGUGAGACUUUUAUCAAAUAUCUUGGUAUCUCAAUGUCGGGGGUUCGAGCCCCCCAUCGGGCG